CCAUGAUGUCUGUGCUUCAGUGAACGUGCCAAUGCCCAGGGGCAGCCAGACUGGGGGCUGGGAGCUCCCAAGGCAGCUGCCAAAACGAGACCCUCAACUAUCUUCCCACCAACCAGAGGUGACAGAGUUAGCAUGUCCAAGUUGGGAGCAGCCUCCUGGAUGUGUGGAGCCUUCAGUUCUGUGGCUGUUUAUGUAGAUGGAAACCAGGGCCCAGAGAAGGAAAGGCAAUUGCUCAGGGCCACAGAGCACAGAGCUGGCAGAGCUGGCACCACCCUUGGUCUGUCCACAGGGUGGUGUGGAUGAGAGGUGGCAGACUGAGAUGAGUCCCUCCAAAGGGAGGCAGGGUGAGUCUGUAAGCCCAAGCUGUUGGGAAGGGGGCUGGGGAAUCUCAGCCCAUCGAUAGAUACCUUUGAGCCCAGUUGAUGGAAAGACCCUGGACCAGCUCUGGGCCUCAAGUUAGCUGAGCACGUUGGGUCUGUUCUGUCCCCCGCUUGGUCUGAACGUCCACCUCACUCCUCUAACCCGGGCUCCUUCUUCCCCGCUGCCCUGCUGAGUGGGUCCCCUGCACAGCCACCAGGAGGGCUGGAGAGGCAGGCCCCGACCUCCCGUAGCCUGGGGUGGGCAGGCCCCUCCUUCGCCCCCGGGGUCCCCCCAUCAGGCCCUGCAGCCCCUGUGGCUUCACCUCCCCUCUGCCCCCACCCCUAGUCCCACAGGGGGUCCAGCGGUCUCCUCUCCUAGGACAGCGUUCAGUGGCCGGUCCCAAUUGGGACCCACUGGCCACUGCUUCCAAUGAGCCUUCCCAGCCUCUGUGCUCCCCAGACCCCGUGGGGGUUCCCUGGGAGUCGGCCCCUUGGCGAGCUGGCUCAGUCCUGAAGCAGGGCCUGGGCAGGGGGCACCCGAGAACUGCGGAUGGGCGCUGAGAGGGGAGAUGUGGUGGGAAGGACGGUGGGCGAGUGGAUGGACAGACGGACCGUGGGUGGGUGAGAGUGGAUGGGUGUGAGGCAGAUGGUGGGUGGUGGGGACGUGAGUCGGUGGAUUUGUGGGUGGAUUGAGGUGAGCGGUCAGUAGACAGGGAUGGACGGUCCUCAGACGCCCUUUGCUUGCACGAAUCUGGCCAGGGUCAGCAGUGCUUCGAGAAGCGCAUUGAAACGGCCUCCAAAGCCGAGUCCUUGGACCUCUAGCCCGGGAUGUUUUCCCGCCCAGUGUCCUGCACUGAGGCCGGUCAGUCUUGACCUGGAGCGGUCACUGGGACUCAGGUCCCGCCCUCUGUGCCCUGGGAUUUGGUCGAGCCCAGACCCAGGCCCAGGCCCAUGGCUCCGGGAGGAUGGACUUCAGCCUUCCCUGCAGGGUAAGCUGCCCGUCCAGGAGCAGCCGAUCCCCUGCCCUCGGGGCACACUGUAGUGGAGGCUUCAGGGGAGCUGAGGCCAUGAAUUAUGUAAGCGAGUGGGAGCUUCAGACAGCGCCUGCUUCAACAGCAGAGAACCGGCCGCUCCCGCACCCCAUCCCCUCCAGGGCUGGCCUCUGGCAAGUUUGGGCCUUUGAAGGACGUUCAACAUCGUUGGCACGUUAGGUCACCUGGGGAACCGUGGGAUCCCUUGUCCAGCUGAACCCCUGACCAGUGGUCUCAGAACUUCUAGGGGGUAGGGCCCAGUGACAGCAUUUGAAAGCUCCUAGGGGACUCCAGGGUGCAGUCAGGGUGACCGCCGGGAGGUCAGACCAGUGUCCAGCUGGGGCGGGCGUUGAAGGUACAGAUGGGUCUAACUGGGUUGACCCCUUAGUGUCUCCAGAGGAGGCCUCAAGGGCUGGGACAGCUGCACCUCAGUCUCUGUGGACACGGGCUCUGUGUCCUGGGUCUUAGCCCCGUCCUGCCGCCUGCACUUGCCAAAAUGCAGGAAAGCCAGGCCAGGGGGCCCCUGGAGAGCUCCCUGGGCUUCCCACACCAGGCACAGGAAGGAGUGUGGAGAUCAGCAGCUACCGAGCCCUCGUGACCCUCCCGGGGACUAGUGUUCCCAUUUUAGAGAUGAGCAAAGUGAGUCUUCAGAAAAGUGAGAUAAUUUAUCCAAAGUCACCCAACUUUUUUUUUUUUUUUUGGUACCGGGGAUUCAACUCAGCGGUGCCUAACCACUGAGCCACAUCCCCAGCCCUCUUUUGUUUGGAGAUAGGGCCUCACUAAGGUGCUGAGGUUCUUCUCGAACUCCUCCUGCCUCAGCCUACCGAGCCGCCGGGAUUACAGGUGUGCACCACGGCUCCUGGUCCCCACCCGAGUCUUAAAUCACAGAGCAGAGACUCAGGCCCACGCCUGACGCCCGCUGAGCCCUGCUGCACCUUGCAGGGAUCAGACCUUCCCCGGCAGCUCAGCAGCCUGUGCCAGCCCGUGUUUUCUCGGGGCCUUAGGAGGCCUUGUCCUUUUUUAUCGUCAUGUCGCUCAUCUCAACUGCAUCUUCAAAGAGACCUGACCCGUCAUUUCCUCUUCACCUCAGUCACUUAGCCCGGGCCGCCCCAGACGGAAAUGACCUCGGGGAGGCCUUAGGAAGGUCAGGCUCCAGCUCCAGCCCAGGCGCCCUGCUUCCCCCCCUCCCCCGAUGUUUGUGUUCCUACAUCCAAAAUGCUGACAGCUGAUGACUCUCAGCCAGACUUGGGGGCCCUGGGCCACCCUGAUUCCCUUUCCCUGCACAAGACGGAGCCUGGCAUGGCGGCACUGCUUCCCAGCUCUGCCCAGGAGCCGGGCCCGGCCAGAGCAGAUCGGCUGGCAGCCCUGUGGCUCUGCAGGUCCCCUCAGCAACCCCCAUGCAGAGCAGGUGCCCAGCAUGUCACAUCAGCAGCCUGCCCCAUCUGUCACUCAGCAAGGGCCCACAGCCAGGCGCCCGGCCGCAGGCCCCAGCAGCGGAGGGGAGCAAAGGCCCAUCCAGGAGCAGACGCGGCUUGAGAUCUGCGUCUGCCAGGUGCUGGCCGAGGGCCCCCGGCCCGUGGCCCCCGCAUCACACGUUGCUCAGAGUCCUAGGGGGACAGACACAGAAACCGCAGGUGGGGACAGCACCAGGUGCCAAGGUCCCAGCAGGUGAGAGAGUAGGGGGUGCAGGGCCCGGUUAAGUCGGGCAUCCCCCCAGGGAGGUGGCAUUUGGGAGGAAGCCCCAAGGCCUAGUUGAGGUCAGCACCCCUGGGCGCCGGCUCAACAUGUGAGAAAAGGAACAGCCAAGAGCCAGAGACCCCCCAGCCCUCUGCAAAGCAGGGCACCCGCAUCCCCAGUCUCCUCCCGUUUGAUUCAUUCCAAAGGCUGAUGCCAUUUUAACUCAUGCGCACUUGGUUUCCGGGGAGGCCUCUGCCCCUGGUGGGCGUCCCAGCCCGGGCCAGGCCCAUCCACGGUGCCACUGUUCCCACACCUGGCCCAGCGCAACCCCAGGAAAUACUCAGUGGCUCAUGAACUAUUUGAAGGGGGGGAGGACAUGAAAGAAGAG
rnacentral:lncRNA from 1 species